UAAUACGAAGGGUGCAAGCGUUACUCGGAAUUACUGGGCGUAAAGCGUGCGUAGGUGGUGAUUUAAGUCCGUUGUGAAAGCCCUGGGCUCAACCUGGGAAUUGCAGUGGAUACUGGGUCACUAGAGUGUGGUAGAGGAUAGUGGAAUUUCCGGUGUAGCAGUGAAAUGCGUAGAGAUCGGAAGGAACAUCUGUGGCGAAGGCGACUAUCUGGGCCAACACUGACACUGAGGCACGAAAGCGUGGGGAGCAAACAGGAUUAGAUACCCUGGUAGUCCACGCCCUAAACGAUGCGAACUGGAUGUUGGGUUCAACUUGGAACCCAGUAUCGAAGCUAACGCGUUAAGUUCGCCGCCUGGGGAGUACGGUCGCAAGACUGAA
rnacentral:rRNA from 1 species